rnacentral:tRNA from 1 species
GCCAUCUUAGCUCAGUUGGUAGAGUACCUGACUUGUAAUCAUGAGGUCCUCGGUUCGAACCCGAGAGAUGGCU